rnacentral:lncRNA from 1 species
UAUCGGUAGCCAUAGCUACAACUACCUCUUUGUCUAUAAACUACCAUUUAAGUGGUUCAGGAAAUUUGGAUUAGAGUUAUAUCAAGACAAUGUCAAAUUCAAAGCUCCUGGUGUUUAGAACAGAGAUCCAUGAGCAAUGUUUUUAUUUUUAUGGGCUCAUACUGGAUGUAUAGAGGUGUUGAUACGAGAGAUGUGCAAUUCGGCCCAAAGGCAUCCUGUUUUGGGGCCCAUUGUCAGCUGACCCCUCAUUCUGUUUACCAGGAAGUUACUUGACAGGGGAGGGGUGAUGCCAUUUUCAUUUGGCAGAGAUUCGGCCCAUUUACUACAAUGGGAAAUUUUAAAUGCUCAAUCCCCAGUCAUUUUAAGGUCUAUUUGCAUGAAACCUACCUCAGUUUUAGACCCCUUUUACAACUGCAAGCCUGCCAAGUUUUUUAAAAAUCGCCAAUCUAUGAUUUUUUAGAAUUAUUUAUAACAUGUUUUAAAACAAGACAAAUCACAAGAGAGGUUUAUGAGAACUGUAGUUGUUGUUUAUGUCCAUUCUCAGCAUGGACACCACCGGGCUUUUUAUUGGCUGAGAAACACACAGAGAGAAACUUCAAUUCCCAUCAUUCUCCGAGAGGAACCCGGAGACUAUUCAAUGCCCGUCCCAUGAAAGUGCUGUUGAGAAAGUGAGUUCCCAGCAGAGCCCUCUCUGGAGGAGGAGCCUAGGAAACUCCAAAAAGAAAUGGAUGCUGCUGCUGCUGCCGGGAAGGGGAGGGAGAAAAGAUGUGGCUGAUCCCUGCCUCAGCUUGCAGAAUUCCCCUCGUGGCUGGAAGAUUUGUUCCUUCUCACAGACACUUGCUCCUAACUGGAAAAAGAUUACCAGGGAAUGAAGCUGAAGCACAACUGCAGGAGGAUGGCAUUGUGAAUAUUGCCACUGGAAGAAAAGGAGGUGCUUUCCCCAAGCAAUUAUAUACUGAUGGUAUGUCGCCUUAUUGUUGUUCCAUUUCUGAUAACAGGCUAAAUGGAUGUGAGGUUCAGAGGAAAGGUAUCAUGUUGAGAUGAAAGAGUCAGCCUGGGAGCUGCAAAAGCAUUUAAGUGCAAUUUGAAAAAUAAGAUUUAUUCCACAUGUUAGACCUCUUUUGCAGUUUCUAUUCUUCAUCCCUUCCAUGAUUCUCAUGCAAUUAGAUUCAAAAAAUUACAGAUUGGGUAUACUAAUUUUGCACUUUAGGGGGCUCAACGUAGGCAAACAGUCAUUAAAAGCCCAAACUCGCUGGGCUCAAAGAUUAAUUUGAAUGUGAAUGAAAUGUGUUUGCAUGAAUGUCUGUGAUUUCCAUUGAGAUAUUUCUUCAGAAGUAGUACAUAAUGAAUUAGACAUUAUUUUUCUCUAUACCCAUGUCAUUUUAUUGAAAUCCACAUAUUUGUUUAGUGAUUUCUCUGUGUAUCUUGCUAUUCCAUUCAAAAUUGCAUUCAAGGUAGAUAGCAGCAGUAAAACACAGAAAAGUAGAAAAUGAAAAUAAGGUAAUUAAAAACACAGCGAUAAUAGAGAAAUAAAAAACACUCCCCAAUUAAACAGCCUUUAGCACAUAUAUCAACCUUAAAGCCUGAAUCAUGGUAGAAUACAAACAUAUUUAAUUGAUGAUGAAUGGGUGAUAAAAAAAAACCCAGCUGAUCCAACUUUCCUUGAUGAAGAGUUCAAGAUCCAGACAGCAAUCACUAAGAAGCACACACACACUUUUUUUCUUGACAAAUGUGCUUCUGAUGGUCUCAGACAAAAAAAAAAAAAAGGAAAAAAGAGGAUACACAGCAACUGAUUCAAAAUGCAGGAAAAGAGAUUUCAUCUAAAUAAUAGGUUUGUGCAUUUUGAAUGAAUCAUUAUCCAUUUCAGCUUGCUGGAUAUCGGAAGCCCCCCAUAUUCGUUUUCACUCAUCUUCCAAAAACGGGCACAUUGCUGAAUAGUCGGUUUUGUUCUGCAACUAAAAAAAGGAACUCUUUUUGGUCCGUUUGCAACAAUGGGCAACAUUUGAGGCUCCUCUUUCCCCUGGGAGCUUUUCCUUUCUUCCCUUCAGAGGAACCUGGGUGUCAGCAACGGGAUUAAGAAAAUACCCCAUACAACCCAUUAUGGAAGGGGGGGGGGAACUUCCCACAGGCUCCCCUUCCAUAUCCUUCAUUAAGACCUGGAUUUAAAAAAGCAUCAGAUUAAAGAUAAAGAUACCACUCUUUCUGGAACCUUUCCCUUCUGUUUGUAGAAGGAAGAGACUGGGUUUAAUGCUUCUUAAAGCUGUUUUUACUCUAGAGAGGCAGACACAUGCGCUUUCUCUUCUAGCAGCAGCAGCAUGCCACACAGCUUUCCAAGGCAUUUUAAGGCGGCCCAGGGAAGGAAGAGCAAUGUUCAGUAGAGCUAUCCUCCCUGCGCUGCCUUAAAAAUCCCCUCUCUUGCCUGA